rnacentral:misc_RNA from 1 species
CUUGCAUGCAUGAUUUGUACAACUCCAACAGUUUACAAGUAAAUUGGAUGAAAAUUUUUGAAAGUGAUAACUAUAAGGUGAUGUAUCAAAUACUUUUAAAGUGGCCUUUUAGAGUGAUUUCAACAGGAAUUAUAACACUUGGUUUAUUGAAAAUAACCACAUGAUUACUGUAGGCAAAUUUGUCAGCUCAGCUUCUUCUACAGUUUAUAAGGAAUUCAGUUGCACAGUUAAUGUUUGAAAACAUAUAAACUAUGACCAGAUGUAGCACAUUGUUUUAAAAACAAGUACGUAUAUGAUAUGGACAGGACCAGUUUUCAAUAGUUACAGCUCUCAUUAACUUCUGUAUUGUAUUCAAAAUAAGCACUUUGUGUUGUGUCAAAGCUUUAGCGAGGGUAUUCCUCACCAUCAGUGAUACCUCUUAUUUGAUGCAGUAAAGAAAGUAAAUUUACAUUUCAGUAAGUGUUUGUUUGUUCCAUUGUUCAAUGUACAUGUGAUAUACAUACUGCAUAUAUUUAUAGUUAGCACAUAAUAGUUCUAAAUUUUUAAUUGUUCACUAUGCUUUUGUAGACUGACUGCAGUGUCAUGCUGUUAAUGGAUGACAAUACGUUGAAAUCAUACUUACCUGCGUAUGGUGAUAGAGUGUUGGCAAUUGCUUUCUGCAGGUCUCAAACUGAAGGUGAUCAGUCAAGCACUGAAAGUAAUCAGUGCUCAGAUGCAUUGAAUGAAUUACGUGGGAAAUGGAAAAAAGAGCGAUCUACUCUCCGCAGCUGUGGUUUCAAGGCUGGAAAUGCUUAUGUGGAAAGGCCCAUAAGAAGAUUGGAGCUAGGAUGGAUGGAUUACAGCAACCAAUCCGUGUUAUAAGCAAGUGAGGCAACGAUGUGGAGGUGGUGUCCGCCAUCUCACGGUUGAGAAAACUCUUUAAAGGCAGUCCUUAACCAUGCUUUAGAUGCAUUCUUUCCAUCCAGCGUUUCCCAACAAGGUAUUCUACAAGAGUUUGAAACAGAACUGAAAGAUUUCCAAGGCAUGUGUGUCAAUAUGGAAAAGACAAUCAACGAACUCUAUAUUGAGUCAAAAUUAAAGAUACUUUGGGUAUAUUUAUAUACCAAAAAGAAGACUGAAAAGGUAGGAGAAGAGGUGCACACUGCAACCAACAAGCCGUCCAGUACAAUGGAAGAGGUGGCACCAGAGGUUCAGAUCGUGACCACGGCGCUGAUUGCUGUUCUUGACGCAACUCUUAUCGCAUCCAAUGAGUGCAUGUCUUCGUCAGAUGAGCUUGACCAGCACACUGUAGUGUCAUUGCCAGACUUGCAGGACUGGUCACCUCCCUCGUCUGGUAUACAGUGCGAGUCACACAGAUCAGAGACACUCCAAGCGUUUCGACAGGAGAACUGCUCAGAUGACAUUGAAUUAGGAACACUUACUUUGGUGACAAAUAGGCAGACGUACAUGGAGGCUUGUGGUGCAGCUGAUACGGGAGACAUAGAGUUUAUAGACAUACCACCUCCUCAUCAGAGAAGACAGUUUAGUUUGCAUAGAGUGUCUCCUUCAGCCACAGUAAUAUACAGUGAAACAGCUGAUAUGUCGGGAAGUAUUAACCACCACUCUAUAGAACCUGAUGCCGACAUGGUAGAAGAUCAGUCUUCCAACCAGACAAAUGAUGCUAUGUCAGCGGAAGGGUAUUUCGGACAAGAUGACAUCCAGUUGGCCAUUGAAGAAAGCUUGUUAAGUAUUUGUAAUAGCAAUAAAGAAGAGAAAGACAGCUCACUGUUGAAGAAAUGGGUUGACAAAGCACUACAACCCUCAGAGCCACAAACAAUAGUUGUUCAACGGGAGAGGCUGUUACAAACGACGUUAAGAGUUGUUGGUAAAUCCACUUUCAGUUGGUCACAGCUGCUGCGAAUAGUCUUCUCUGGUGAAGAUGGAGAUGACCAAGGAGGUCCAAAGAGAGAAUAUCUCUGGUUGCUGAGCAAAGCUGUUGCAGGGGCUUCCUUGUGUGGCCCUGAGGGAAACAUGAUCUUCGCCCAUGAUGGUGAAAAGCUUGAGCGCAUGACAUAUGAAAUAUAUGAUCCUGGACAGCCCAGACGAUGAGGGAUUUAAGUCAGUUAUCGACAAACAUGCUGACUGGAUUAUUGAUCAAGGCUUACUUCCUGCAAAAACAAAAUUGGAGAAGAAAGAUAAAGUAGCUACAUACCUGCUGAAAAACAUACUUUACUACAGAUUCCAUGCUGAAAUUACCCAGUUUGUUAAUGGACUGGAUAAAGUGGGUUCGUUGCACAAAGAGAUCCUCCAUGCAUCUGAAGCAUUUUCUAGUCUGUUUGUUCACCAAGCUGUUCAUCUAAAGUUUGAUACACUUCAGAUUAUUGUAUGAAGUGAACUUCAGUCCAGAGGGUUCCAAUACCAAAGGUUGGAGAAGGAUACAGUAUACUGCUUGGAGGCAUUCUUGAUUGAAUGUGAUGGCAAAGAAAGUGACAUAGCAUUGGCAAAUGUACUGAUGUUUUGGACAGGAGCAAGUUCUGUGCCCCCCGAUGGGGUUUGACAAAAAACUUGAAGUGGACUUUGUUACGGCUGAUAGAAAACUGCCUGUAGCCCAUACCUGUGGCAUGGUUUUAGAACUUGUGCGUGGCUUAGCUGAUCCUGAUUUAUUCAAGGAGGAUAUGGUGAAAGCUAUUAAGUGGAGUGGAGGAUUCCACUACGUUAAAUGCAUCAAUGUACAAUCAGUUCUGAAGCCAUCUAUUAGUUUACAAUCAAACGGUUGCAAUACUUGAACUCAAGAUUCUACCUACUGCUCUUGUUUCAGGCCAGUAUGCAACAUGUAAAUGUUAAGGUCAUCGGAUCAACACAAUACUCAAGUAAAGGAAUGGCACAUAGCACAUCAUAAAGCAUGUUAUAAUCCUCAUUACUGGUACUGAUGAUAAACCCGAACAGAAAAUGAGGUUUUUUACCUGUAACUUCUUUAUUUCCGCAAAUUGUAAUCAAUGGUCGGUAUCAAAAUAAAGCUUAACAUUUGCUGAAAACUUUAC